rnacentral:tRNA from 1 species
AUUUAUAUAGUAUAAAAAGUAUGCGUGACUUCCAAUUAUGCGGUCUAAAAUUUUUAGUAUAAAUA